rnacentral:lncRNA from 1 species
AUGUUCCAUACCUGUAUGGAUGAUUUCUACUUAGGAAGCCAUAUCAGUGACAGAAGUGUCUGCAGCUGCAGAGGAAACAUGAAUGCUUCUGUGGUUACAAAAAAAAAAAAGUCAUCUUUCAUGAUGACUUUCAGCCAGGAAAGUUACUUCAGUUUUAAGGUAAAAUCAUUCUGCUGCGACAUGUGGUUGGCAGUGCUCACACUACAGUCAUUAUUUCAACUAUGUGGUGUAAGUAGUAUCAAUAGCCUUAUGAGUUUCCCAGCUCUUAUCUUGAUAUUAUAAAAAAUAGGUCUACUCUUUUGAACAUAUUGAGUAGGAUUGAUAGGUAGAGUCUUCAUCUCUUUUCAAAUGUUGGAUUAUUUGUUACUCAUGUGUUAGUGGGGAGCAUGAACAAAUAAUGCAGAUGAAUUUGAGAAAUCAGUGAUGGUUCUUCUUGAUGUGGGGAAUAAGAAAAAUUGUUGGUAGACAUUUCUGUUUGCAAAACCACUCCCUGUAUAUCUGUACAGGAACGUAAGCCUAAUUGUAAAUGGUUGAACAAUGGCUUACUCUCUUUUUCCAUCCAGAACUCAGUACUUACUUCAUUUUCAUUUAUCUAAGUGUUGCCAUGAGGCUCCUUUACCUCAUAUACAUACUUCACAUUCUUCUCGAUUUGUGUCUCAUGUUGUCCCUCUGACUGCAAAUUUCUACCCAGUGUUCUUUUUGCCCUCAAAAUCCUGCAUAGCCUUUUGCCAAUUGGCAUUUUAAUAACAACAAUAGUAAGAUAUAUUCAUAGUGUUUAAGGGAUUAAUCCACGAAGUUGCAUGAGGAAGCACACAAUUUAUAGGUAAUAUUUAUAUGAUUGCUUGAAUUUACAGGAAUUGGCAAAUAGUUUUACGGUCAUGGAAUGUACAAGGGUGUAAUAACUUGUCUUUAUGUUGAUGCCAUAUUGUGGAGUGUAUGCAUAGGGGAAAUUAGAGUUUGUGGUCUUUUUCACUAUCAUGUGCUAUGUUAGGCAUUAUUUUUUGUGGACGCAUGGAGUUAGUUCUGAUGCAUACCCAAGUAGGGCAUAAAUUCUGUGGACAGCUGAAAAAUAAAUAUACAUGCUAUCACU